rnacentral:rRNA from 1 species
AGUCGAGCGGUAGAGAGAAGCUUGCUUCUCUUGAGAGCGGCGGACGGGUGAGUAAUGCCUAGGAAUCUGCCUGGUAGUGGGGGAUAACGUUCGGAAACGAACGCUAAUACCGCAUACGUCCUACGGGAGAAAGCAGGGGACCUUCGGGCCUUGCGCUAUCAGAUGAGCCUAGGUCGGAUUAGCUAGUUGGUGAGGUAAUGGCUCACCAAGGCGACGAUCCGUAACUGGUCUGAGAGGAUGAUCAGUCACACUGGAACUGAGACACGGUCCAGACUCCUACGGGAGGCAGCAGUGGGGAAUAUUGGACAAUGGGCGAAAGCCUGAUCCAGCCAUGCCGCGUGUGUGAAGAAGGUCUUCGGAUUGUAAAGCACUUUAAGUUGGGAGGAAGGGCAGUAACCUAAUACGUUGCUGUCUUGACGUUACCGACAGAAUAAGCACCGGCUAACUCUGUGCCAGCAGCCGCGGUAAUACAGAGGGUGCAAGCGUUAAUCGGAAUUACUGGGCGUAAAGCGCGCGUAGGUGGUUCGUUAAGUUGGAUGUGAAAGCCCCGGGCUCAACCUGGGAACUGCAUUCAAAACUGACGAGCUAGAGUAUGGUAGAGG